UCAUUUUUGGUGUUGGUGGGUGAAGCGGGGCUUGGGAAGAGAAGAAAUGCAUCAUGAAUUCUUUUGUAAACAGAGGACAGAGGGGCGUGGGAGGAGGAUGUGAGCAGGUACCUCCCAGGAAACUGAGCACAGAGGACGCAGCAGCUGGUCCCUCACCCUUGCUCUCUCCGUAUCACCCUGUCUCCCACCCCACACAAAGGGUGAACAGCCAGCAAGUUUUCCGGAGAGGAUGGUCACAUGACCUCGACCUAGCCAAUCAGCAUGUUUCAUCCUCCCUGGCCACCGUGACUGGCUCAGGGGUGGGCUAGUGACCAAUCAGGGCCCAGGGUGGGGCCUUGUGCUGGAAUCCUGGGGAAGAGGAGCUGUGUUUCGCUUGCCCAGCCCGCGGUAGCUGGAGGGGUCGCGAAGUCAGCCCGCAGCAGCUGGUGCGAGGUCAGUCCGGGGCAGUUGGAGGGGACUUGACCUCAGCCUGUGGCAGUUGGUUGCCGUCUUACUCCCAUCAAGGUAGAGCCGCCUGCGUGAGGAUGACACCAGUAAGCAGAACCCAGAGGCGGGGAGAGACCGUUUCUGCUGACGUCCAUGAGCUCCAGGUGCAGCCCUGCCGUAAGCCGUCCACCUGUGGACUUAGUUACGCUGUCUGCUGCAUGAGAAUGGAGACCAGGUGUCUGGAGCCUGCCCAGCACAUAGUAAGGCCUCACUGAACGUGCACUGGGUGUGUGGACGCUGAGGCCACAGACAAGAACGUUCCAGGCAGUGAUGAAGCUGCGAUGAAGGCUCCUGUCCGUCUGUCUGUCCGUCCACGGCUCUGGGCUCCUCCACCUCCUGCCCUCCCCAUGCUCCCUGCGUGGUGCGUCCUCCCUCUCCUCCAGG